GACGAACGCUGGCGGCGUGCCUAAUACAUGCAAGUAGAACGCUGAAGCGAGGAGCUUGCUCUUCUUGGAUGAGUUGCGAACGGGUGAGUAACGCGUAGGUAACCUGCCUUGUAGCGGGGGAUAACUAUUGGAAACGAUAGCUAAUACCGCAUAACAAUGGAUGACACAUGUCAUUUAUUUGAAAGGGGCAAUUGCUCCACUACAAGAUGGACCUGCGUUGUAUUAGCUAGUAGGUGAGGUAAUGGCUCACCUAGGCGACGAUACAUAGCCGACCUGAGAGGGUGAUCGGCCACACUGGGACUGGGACACGGCCCAGACUCCUACGGGAGGCAGCAGUAGGGAAUCUUCGGCAAUGGGGGCAACCCUGACCGAGCAACGCCGCGUGAGUGAAGAAGAUUUUCGGAUCGUAAAGCUCUGUUGUAAGUCAAGAACGGGUGUGAGAGUGGAAAGUUCACACUGUGACGGUAGCUUACCAGAAAGGGACGGCUAACUACGUG
rnacentral:rRNA from 1 species